rnacentral:rRNA from 1 species
CAGCCUGCCCAGUGACUACGGGUUCAACGGCCGCGGUAUUUUGACCGUGCAAAGGUAGCGCAAUCACUUGUCUCUUAAAUAGAGACCUGUAUGAAUGGCUAGACGAGGGCUUAACUGUCUCCCCCUUCCAGUCAGUGAAAUUGAUCUAUCCGUGCAGAAGCGGGUAUAAUUAUACAAGACGAGAAGACCCUUUGGAGCUUAAGGUACAAAAUUCAACCACGUUAAAUGACUCUACAAAAAGCAAGAACCUAGUGGCCAAUGAAGUUUUACCUUCGGUUGGGGCGACCACGGAGGAAAGACAAGCCUCCGAGUGGACUGGGCUAAAUCCCCAAAGCCAAGAGAUACAUCUAUAAGCCGCAGAACAUCUGACCAAGAAUGAUCCGACUGAAAAGCCGAUCAACGAACCAAGUUACCCUAGGGAUAACAGCGCAAUCCUCUCCCAGAGUCCAUAUCGACGAGGGGGUUUACGACCUCGAUGUUGGAUCAGGACAUCCUAAUGGUGCAGCCGCUAU